CCUACGGGAGGCAGCAGUGAGGAAUAUUGGUCAAUGGGCGCGAGCCUGAACCAGCCAAGUAGCGUGAAGGAUGACUGUCCUACGGGUUGUAAACUUCUUUUAUAAAGGAAUAAAGUGAGGCACGUGUGCCUCUUUGUAUGUACUUUAUGAAUAAGGAUCGGCUAACCCCGUGCCAGCAGCCGCGGUAAUAUGGAGGAUCAGAGCGUUAUCUGGAUUUAUUUGGUUUAAAGGGAGCGUAGAUGGGUUGUUAAGUCAGUUGUGAAAUUUUGCGGCUCAACCGUAGAAUUGCAAUUGAUACUGGCAGUCUGGAGUGCAGUUGAGGUAAGCGGAAUUCGUGGUGUAGCAGUGAAAUGCUUAGAUAUCACGAAGAACUCCGAUUGCGAAGGCGACUAACUAAACUACCACUGACGUUGAUGCGCGAAAGUGUGGGUAGCAAACAGGAUUAGAUACCCCGGUAGUC
rnacentral:rRNA from 1 species